UACGUAGGGGGCUAGCGUUGUCCGGAAUCAUUGGGCGUAAAGCGCGUGUAGGCGGUCCGGUAAGUCCGCUGUGAAAGUCGAGGGCUCAACCCUCGAAUGCCGGUGGAUACUGUCGGGCUUGAGUACGGGAGAGGCGAGUGGAAUUCCUGGUGUAGCGGUGAAAUGCGCAGAUAUCAGGAGGAACACCGGUGGCGAAGGCGGCUCUCUGGGCCUUACCUGACGCUGAGGAGCGAAAGCGUGGGUAGCGAACAGG
rnacentral:rRNA from 1 species